ensembl:lincRNA
UUUGGGGCUUCAGUGCUAUUGGGUGAUGUCACAAGACAUCAUAGUGCAGAAUGGAGGUGGACACUGGCCAGAAUUCACCUCCCAAAAAGCCAGAUGAUUCAGUCAUGACGGAGGGGUUGAUUGAUUUAUUGAUUGCCUCAUUGAUUGCAGGUGAAACCAGAGCAGUCAGGUAUUUACUGCUGUUUUCUGAGUUUCAAGGAGGGGACGAUCAACUCCACUGUCACGUUGCAGGUGGAAGGAGCUCCAGGAGGCAUGGAGCACAGCAGUCAUUCAGCCUCCUCUCUUACCCGAAAGCCAGACAUUCAAUCCACAAAUUUGAAGCUGCGUUGCACAAUUGAAGGCGAGACCUCAGAUAGGCUGACAUCACUGCUGGUCAAUGGGACUCAGACUCAGAGGCCACAGGAAGGGAACAGAGAGAGAAGUUCUUCAUACCAAGGAAAGCUGGAAUGUCCAAUUGGAGAUGCUGACAUAGCAACUAUUGAUAUAGUUGAGUUAGUCCAGCCAAGUUCUGUCUCAAUCCUCGGGAUGACAAUGGAGCUGUGGGUUCUAGUGGUGAUCACUGUGGGGUCCAUCCUCUUGAUCAUCCUCACCAUCCUCACUGUGGCUCUGAUAGUGAAGAACAGGAGGCUGCAGAAUAAACAAGAGUCCCACAGACAGUCCACAUCAGACAACGAAUAUAUCUACAGCAACAUGAACAGCACCUUUGGAAGGCGGAGAGAGAAUGCCCACUCCCAGAAGCGCCCGGUUUACUGAAGAGAGGGUGUGACGGGGUGGGAACGAUUGUGCGUGAGUGGAGACAGAGAGGGAUGCGUGUAAGUGUGAUGGUGUGUGUGUGUGCACAGAGAGAAAGGGAAAUAGAGACUGUGAGAUAGAGUGUAGAAGUGAAAGAGAGAGAGAGGCUGCACGAGACAGAGGGAAUUUGUCACAAAAGGAGCAGUACUUUGGGGGGAUACUGCAAUUGUAACGGGAGCCGGUCCAGGAUCCCAUGAAGCAUAGUUUAGGACCCUAUGCAGACGGUAUAAUCCGGAAGUAAGUGGAGAAGGACAACAGGGAAAAGACGUAGAGGAUCAGGACGGGUUGACAGACAGGGGGGUGUGACGACUGUGAUCCGGUGCUCGGGGGGCAUGGCGCAGGCAAACAAGUUCAAACAGUCCAAGGGUGGAAAUCCCUGGCGCAGUCCAGGGUCCAGGAACCAGCAGAAACAUCAGAGACAGUGGUUAAAAUCCGGAACAGGAUCAGGGAACCAGGUAGAUAAAACCAGGAUAACGAGCCAGGUGCCCCGAGCCCCGGACUCAAAUGGUCAGGAUGCCGUGAUGAAGCCUAUGCCGUCGGGUCUCUCUUGGACCUGCUGGUAGGUGGGCUUCUGGGCGUCCAUCUUCCAAUGCUGAGCCAGGAAUAGCGGGAAAGCCAGGCUUGAAUAAUGACAGACAAAAUAGGCAGCAGGUGCACAUCAUGAACUAAAAUACCAAAGGGUCGGAGCGCCCUUAAAAGGAGGGAUGACGAUCGUGAUGGAAAUAAAUACUUCAGCUGCACGGAUAUCAAUUUUGGGGUGGACCCAGCCUAUGAACUGUACAGUAUGUCUCUGCUGUACUAUGGCCGUUGCGGCUAUUUCCUAUACGCUUUGUAGAGCUUAGUGCUUAAGUAGGAUGUGGAAGUGGCCCUGAAACUCAUAUGGACCCUACCUGACCCUGAUUAAAACCACCAGUGUAACAAUGUGGGAUUUUUUCUGAGGAAUUGUGGAGCCUGGAUCUUGAGAAGUGUCUGACUCCAGCACCAGCAUUGUAAACCAGACUGAGAAACGGGACAGGGAAAGAGUGUUUCGUAAGAGUGCGCAGCAUGUGAAAUAAAGAGAGAGAGAGUGGUGUACAGUAUAUACAUCUCAGAUUUGUUUAUUGUAUAUAUUCCCUUUGUCUGAAUUGUUACAAUAUCUUAGGGUUGAAUACCUGGUGAAAUUUCAAUAAAGUGCUUCCUGAGCAGCAUCA